rnacentral:rRNA from 1 species
AAAGGGUGCGUAGGCGGCCUGUUAAGUCAGGGGUGAAAGACGGUAGCUCAACUAUCGCAGUGCCCUUGAUACUGAUGGGCUUGAAUUGACUAGAGGUAGGCGGAAUGUGACAAGUAGCGGUGAAAUGCAUAGAUAUGUCACAGAACACUGAUUGCGAAGGCAGCUUACUAUGGUCUUAUUGACGCUGAGGCACGAAAGCGUGGGGAUCAAACAGGAUUAGAUACCCCGGU